rnacentral:lncRNA from 1 species
GUUGGACCUAUGGAUGUGAUCUUUUGGAAACAGGGUCUUUGCAGAUGUAAUCAAGUUAAGAUUAUGUCAUACUGGAUCAUUGUAGGGUCUAGAUCCAAUCCCUAGUGUCCUUAAAAGAAGAGACACAGAUACACACAUAAAGAGAGACUGCUGUGUGUGGAUAGAGACAGUGACUGAAGUAUGUGUCUACCAACCAGGGAACAUCAAAAAUUGCGAGCAACCACCAGAAACUAGUAAGAGGCAAGGAAGGAUCCUCCUCUUGAGCCUUCAGAGAGAGCACGGCCCUGCCAACACCUUGAUUUCAGACUUCUAGGUUCCAGAACUAUGAGACGAUAAAUUUCUGUUCUGUAAAAGAAAUCCUGAGAGGUAAAAGGUGUUGUUCUCAGGAUUUUACAUUGAUUCAC